rnacentral:lncRNA from 1 species
AAAUAGAACAGUGUAAAAUGUAGACAUUUUUGUAAAUCUCUUUAACAUCUGCCUUAAUUGAAGACAGCUAGAUCUUGUAUCUUCUGCUUUCAGUCUCUUGCUGAAUGUUUCAUUUGAUGUGUAUGUGAAGAAAAUCUAGUGUAUGUAUUUGAAAAAGGGAGGAAUUUUUUUGAUAGCCUUUUCGGAUAAUUGAGGAUAUUCUCUGGUUAUUAUGCAAAACUUGACAAAUGGUUGACAGAUCUGUUUUUAGUAUAAUGUAUAAAUUAUAACAUGCCAAUUACUGUUGACUUUUAAGAGUUCUUUGUGUGCUUUGAAUAAUAGUCCUUUAUUGGAUGUGUUUUUUGCAAACAUUUUCCUCCCAAUCUGUGGCUUGUCUUCUCAUUCUCUUUGCAUUGUCUUUUAUAGAGCUGAAGUUUAAAAAUAUUUUUCUGUGCUUUUUAUCAUCAUAUCUCCUCCCAUUCUUCAUUUAAAAGUUUUUCAAUAAUACAGAACACUCUUAUUUACUAUAGUAACCAUGUUGAAUAAUAGAUGUCUGGAAGUUUUAUUUCUAAAAUUAUUGUACCCUUUGACCAACAUCUCCUCCUCCUCCUCCCAUCCCUGCCCUGGUAACCAUCAUUCUGCUUUUUGCUUCUUUGAGAACUCAACUUUUAAAGAUUCCCACAUAUAACUGAGUGCCUGUGGAAUUUGUCCCUCUAUAUCUGGCCUAUUUCAUUUAUCAUAAUGUCCUCCAGGUUCACCCAUGUUACAAAUGACAGGAGUCCUCCUUUUUUCAGGCCAAAUAGCAUGAUGUUAUGUAUAUGUACCACGUGUUCUUCAUCUACUCAUCUGUUGUUGAACACUUACAAUGCUGCAGUGAAAACGGGAGUACAUAUGUUUCUGUGAGGUGCUGAUUUCAUUUCCUUUGACAUAUAGCCAAAAAAGGGAUUAUUGGAUCCAGGUGAAAUUUAAUACCAGAUAGAUCAUCAACACUAGUUGAAUUUACAUUACUUUUUUAAUUUUAAUUGACACACAGUAAUUGAACAUAUUUAUGGGGUACAAUGUAGUAAUUUGAUAUGUGUAUAUAAUGUGUAACAAUAAAGUCAGAGUAAUUUUCAUGUUUGUUUCCUUAAACAUUUAUUAUUUCUUUGUGAUGGUAACCUUUUAACACCUAUUUUCUAGUUAUUAUAAAAAAUGUAAUAAAUUGUUGUGAACUAUAGUCACUCUAACGUGCUAUAGAAAUUUGAACUCAUUUCUCCAAUGUAAUUGUAUUUUGGUAUCCAUCAUCCAACCUCUCUCUACCACUUCUCCCCCCAUCUUUCUAACAUCCAGUAACAUUGUUCUACUCUUAACUUCUAUGAAAUUAAUAGUUUUAGCUUCCAUAUAUUUUGAGAACAUGCAGUAUUUUUUCUUCUGUGUCUGGCUUAUUUUACCUAUCUUAAUUGUUUCCAGUUCCACCAUGUUGCUGCAAAUGAUAGGAUUUCAUUCUUUUAUGGCUGAAUAAUAUCCCAUUGAUCCAUUGAUCUGUUGAUGAACAUUUUGGUCGAUUCCAUAUCUUGGCUAUUGUGAAGAAAGAGUACUGCAAUAAACAUGGGAGUGCUGGUAUCUGUUUGAUACACUGAUCUAAUUUCCUUUGGAUGUAUAUCCAGUAGUGGGCUUGCUGGAUCAUAUGACAGUUCUGUUUUUAGUUGUUUGAGGAGCUUCCAUAUUGUUCUCUAUAAUGGCUAUACUAAUUUACAUUCUCACAAAUGGUGUAGAAGAUUUCCCUUUUUUUCACAUCUUCACCAGCAUUUGUUAUUUUUGUCUUUCUGAUUAUAGCUGUUCUAAUUAGAGCAAAAUGAUAAUCUAGUUGUCAUUUCGAUUUGCAUUUUCCUCAUGAUUUGUAAUAUUGAGAAUUUUUUAUACAUACUUGUUGGCCACCUGUAUAUCUUUUUUUGAGACCUGCAUAUUCAGAUCAUUUGCCUAUUUUAAAAUUGGAUUAUUGUUUUUUUUUUCUGAGAAGUUUUUGAUUUUUAAUUAAGUGCAGUUUAUCAAUGAUUUCUUACCUUUGAUUUUUGUACCUAAAAAAAUCAUCACCAGGCUCAGGGUCCUCUAGAUUUUCUCUUUGCUAUCUUUUUAGGAAUUUUGUAGCUUUGCAUUUUAUAUUUAGGUCUAAUCCAUUUUGAGUUAAUUUUUGAGAAGUGUUUAAGGUAACGGAUAGAAUCUUUUUUCUCUCUCUCUUUAAUGUUUCAGCAUCAUUUAUUUAAUAAUGUAUCAUUGCUUCAUUGUAUUACCUUUGCUCCUUUGUCAAAGAUCAGUUUAUUAAUGUGGUUCUCAUUCUGGGCUUUUUUCCUGUCCCAUGAUCUAAUUUCCUGUUCUUUCUCUAAUAGUAUAUUAUCUUGAUUGCUUUAAAUCUUGAGGUUCAAAUAAUAUCAGCCCUCUUACUGUUCUUCAAUAUUAGGUUGGUUAUUUUGGGUCUUUUGCCUAUUCAUGUAAACUUUAGAACAAUUUUGUUGCAAUCCUGAAAAUACUUGUGGAAAUAUAGACCAAGUUGGGAAGAAUUGACAUCAUAACAGGGUUGGCUCUUUCUAUCCCUGAACACAGAUUUUAGUUAUUCUUUGAUAUCUUUCAUUAGGGCUUUAUAGUUUGCUUCAUAUGGAUCUUAUACAUCUUUUUAGAUAUACCUGUUUCAUUUUGGGGGGUGUUAAGGUAAAUGGCAAUGGGCUUUUAAUUUCAGAUUCCACUUUUUACUAGUUUAUUGGAAAGGAAUUGGCAUUUGUGCAUUAACCCUAUAUCCUAUGUCCUUUAUAUCUUAACCAUAUUUAAAUAUAUAGUUUUGUACUGUCAAGUACAUUCACAUCAUGUAGCCCAUCUCCAGAAGUCUUUUCAUCUUAUACAACUAAAACUCUGUAAUCAGUAAGCAUUAAAAAUUGUAGUAAAAAUAUAAUACACAUACAUACUCAUAAUACACAAUUUACCAUUUCAACUAUCUUUAAGUGUAAAGUUCAGUGGCACUGAGUACAUUUACACUGUUGUGUAUUUUUGAGAAGUGUUUGAGGUAAUGAAUAGAAUCCUUUUUCUCUCUCUCUUUAAUGUAUCCUUCAUGUUAUCUGUAGAACAUUUUUCAUCUUCCCAAGCUGAAACUCAGUGCAUAUUAAACACUAGCUCCCCAUUCUCUCCUCCCCCAACCCCUGGCAAGCACCAUUUUAUUUUUUGUCUGUAUGAAUUUGAGUACUUUAGAUACCUCACGUCAACCUAAGCAAAAAACAGAGUGAUUGACUAAGGAAUACUGACGUUUAUAUGGGAACAGCAGAGUACUACAAUGCGGAUAUGCAUGCCAUAGCAAAAUAUGGGUGUAUUCAAAGAGAUUGAGGCAAGAGGAUAUUUAUAAAGGUAAAAAGGAAGCACACUCCAUCAAUUAUUCCAAAAGAAUAAUCUUUGGCAACAGUGAUUAAUGACAGGAGUGGCAUCAAUUUGGUGUUGAGCAAACAACUGCCGGGCAGAUGUCCUGGUAGAGUAUGUUUAGUAUAAGUUGGGUGCCCUCUUUGCAAGCUUGCGGUUCUCUCUUUCUUUCUCUCUCUCUUUUAAAUUCUUAUUUUUUUAAAUUUUAUUUUGUUAUAUGACAACAGAAUGCAUUACACUAUAUAUAUUACAUAUAUAGAGUACAAUUUUUCAUAUCUCUGUUUGUACGUGGUUCUUUUUUGUGAUGAUUUUUAUUUGUUUAAAAUUUUUAUUUUUUUUAGUUGUAUUUGUACACAAUACCUUUAUUUUGUUUAUUUAUUUUUAUGUGGUGCUGAGGAUGGAACCCAGGGCCUCGCACGUGCUAGGUUGAGUGCUCUACCACUGAGCCACAACCCAGCCCCUUUGUGAUGGUUUUUAAUCAGACAAUCAUGUAUAAGAACUCUUUCUUCAUAGCCUCCCACCCUUAUUUAAUUUUUUUGGUUAGGGUUGACACAUGACUUAGAUUGGAUUCUAACAACUUUCACAUUCAUAUAAUUGGAAUCAUGUAGUAUCUCUCUUUGAAACUGGCUUAUUUCUCUUAGCAUAAUAUUCUCAGGGUUUUUCCAUGUUGUAGCAUGUGUUAGAAUUUCCUACUUUUAAAGCUAAGUAAUAUUCAGCCUUAAUAUAUAUCACUUUUAUUUAUCUACUCAUCCUUUGAUGGACACAGGGUUGCUUCUGUCUUUGGAUUAUUGUGAAUAAUGAACAUGAGUGUAUCUUUGAAUCCAGCUUUUAAUUUUUUUUUUGAAUAUAUACUUAAAAAUGGAAUUGGGGAUCGUAUAAUAAUUCCACUUUUAAUUUUUUGAGGAGCAAUUAUAUUGUUUUCAAUAGUAGAUGUCAUCAUUCUAGAUUUCUACCAAUAGUAAAGAAGUGUUCUAAUUUUUCUGUGUUCUCAUCAAUAUUAUUUGCCAUUUUUUCUUUCAAUUGUUAUCAUAAUGGGUAUGUGAGGUGCUAUCAUGUGUGUUAAUUUACUGUUUGCAUAUUUUCUUUGGAGAAUGUCUAUUCAAGUACUUAGGUCAUUUUUUAAUCAGGUUUUUGUUGUUGUUAUCCAUGCAUUUUAAGUUUUUUUUUUUCCGUAGUACUUAUCACUACUGUUACCACUUUUAAGUUACACCACAUAAGUUGGUAUACCUAAUACCUAGAAAAGUGCCAGCACUCAAAGAAAUAUUUUGUGUUGAUAGAAAAGAUAGAGAGAGAAGGAGAGGGUAGGGAGGGGAAAGGCUAAGAAGGAGAAGGUUGGAGGGGAGAGAGGGAAGGAAGGAUGGGAGGAAGGAAGGAAGCAAGGUAGAGAUUGGUACAUACCACACAACACAGGUCUUCUGAAGAAAUUAUUUUCAUGCUUUUUAUUCUCUGCCUCUAAUAAAAUUUUGAGACUGUUAGGUUACUUAUUUGAAUUUAUCCACAGUACAAAUAUUAAUUAGUUAAUGUUGACUAACAUACAUUUAAAAUAUAUGAAUAAACUCUUAUUUAUCAGAGGGACAUUUAACAAUAUUCCAUUUCUUUUUGCAGUACUAUGGAUCAGGGCCAUGCUUGGCAAGUGCUCUGCCUCUGAGCCUCGUCCCCUUCAUUUCUUUUUGAAAUAAUAUUGUCCUUAUAGUUGGGAAGAGAAAAUAAACAUAAAUGUACCUGUACUAUUGACCCAACAAUUUCUCUCCUAGGUAUACACCCAAAAGAAAUGGAAACAUCUGUCUACAUAAAAUCUUGCACACAAAUGUUUACAGCAGCAUUAUUUAUAAUAGCUAAAAUUUGGAAACCACCCAGAGGUUUGUAAAUUAAUGAGUGGAUAAGCAAACUUUGUUAUAUGCAUAUGAUGGGGUAUUAUGUAGUCAUACAAAGGAAUGAUGUUCAUGAUAUAUGUAUGCGGCAACAUGAAUGGACCUUGAAAACAUUAUGCCCAUGAAGGAAGCCAGGUACAAAAUGUCAUAUUUUGUGUGAUUCAAUUUAUAUUAAAUAUUCACACUAGGUAAAUCCACAGAGAUAGGAAGCAGAUUAGAGCCUGUCAAGGAAUUGGUGGGAUGAGGGAAUUGAUGUGAACACAUCAUCUCCGAUUGCUAAGCAAGAUCCCUCAGCUAACUGGACCAUGUAGCAGUUUGGAACUGGCAUUUUCCAUUGAAGUUUAAAUGUCUCUCAUAUAAAUAAAAAAUUAAAAGAUGACAACCAGAAUUUCUUGCACUGUAGUUAUACAUAUGACUUACAGUUCAACAUAAGCAUCCAGAUAUCCUUCAUAUACAGAUAGAUGGCAUCUUGACAAAGAAAUGUUGCCUAUAUUCAUAUGUACCUUUCAGAGCAAAUAGAGGAUGAGAAAAGGUGGGAUUUGCAAGGAGCACAGAGUGCAAUGACUACUUCCAGUGUUAUAUAGAAAAGGAUUCUGGGCUUGGGUUUAGAUUUAGUGUAAAAACGAUGAUAACUGCUAGAAUGUGAAGUGCCCUCUUGAUUGUCAAUUUUAUUGCAAUUUUAAAGGUAACCACUAUGUUUAUCAAUUUGGUGAUACUUUUACAGAUUUUUGUUUAUAUAAUUAGAUAUAGAAUUAUAAAAAUACAUGUUCUUUUUGAAGUAAUGAAUUCUGUAUUUAUGAAUGAUGAAUGCAUGUUGCAUGUAUUCAUGUAGAUCAUCUAUUUUUAUUUACUUUAUAUGGAGACAAGUGCAUGGAGUACUGCAUACAUGGCAUACAUUAAGGGCAUAGGUGGCAGGCCACUCCCCUCGUGCUAGGUACGUGAGCAGCAGACCACUUACCCCAUAGGCACAGCCCUGGGCAUGAGGCCAUGUGUUGCAGUCCCUGUGUUUACUCUACAGCCUGCUUGAUUGGUCGCUGCAAGGACAGUUAGCAAGAAAGUGUAUUGGUGGCUGCCUAUAAUCAGCCUAGCUACUGCCUGAGUAUAUAUACAUGGUAACUGCAAAAAAAUCAGACCCGCUUCCUGCUUGGUCUCCGGAGGUCUUGAUUAGUGAGUGACUCCACAGCCACAUGCUCUUCUACCCUGUUCUGUGGUCCUCUUUGCUGGGCGCGAGAGAGCCCACACAACUUUGGAUAUGAAUUAUUUGUUAUAUAUCUUACACAGGUUGUUUUUAAGCUUGCAGUUUACCUGAGAAACCAAGAUACUCAUGGUAUCUUGGUUUUCAUAUUAGGUUUAUCAAUAUUUUCCUGAUUUUUUAAUUUAUUUAUUGAUUGGGUUAUUUGUUUUCUUGGUGUUAAAAGUUUUUGAGUUCUUUAUAUAUUCUGGAUUUUAAUCUGGUAAUUUGAGGAGAAGUUGGCAAAUUUUUUUUCCCAUUCUGUAGUUUCCCUCUUUGUGCUCUGAAUUGCUUCCUUCACUGUACAGAAGAUUUUUAAUAUGAUGCCCUGCCACUUACUGAUCCUGGUUUUAUUUCUUGAACUUUAGGGGUGUUAGGGUCUAUGUUGGAUUAUUGAGCCUAAAUGUUCUAGCAUUUGCAGAGUUUCAGGCCUAACUCCUAGGUCUUUGAUCCACUUUGAGUUUACUUUUGUGGCAGGGCCAGAGAUAGUGACCUAGUUUCAUUAUUCUACAUGUGGAUAUUCAAUCUUCCCAGCACCACUUGUUAAGAUGGCUAUCUUUUCUCUAACAUACUUUUAGCAUCUUUAUCAAAUAUCAGAUGGCUGUAAGAAUGUAGAUUUGACUCUGGGUCUUUUAUUAUAUUCCAUUGGUUUUCAUGUGUGUUUUGGUGCUAUUAUCAUAGUGUUUUUAUUACUAUAGCUCUGUAGUAUAAUUUGAGAUCAGGUAUUGUGAUGCCUCCUGUAUUACUCUUGUUGCUCAGAAUUGCUUUGGCUAUUCUGAGUCCCUUAUUCUUUAAGGUAUUUCUUUUUUUUCUAGUUCUAUUAAGAAUGUCAUUGGUAAUUUGAUGGGGAUUUCAUUGAAUGUGUACAUUGCUUUUGGCAGUAAGGCCAUUUUAAAAAUAAUAAUUCUGUGUAUCCAAGAACAAGGGAAGCCUUACCAUAUUCUACAGUCGUCUUCAAUUUUUUUCUUCAAUGUUCUGUAAAUUUUAUUAUAGAUAUAUUUCACCUAUUUGGUUAGAUUAAUUACCAAGCAUUUUUUCUGAAGUUAUUGUGAAAGUCUUUCCUGAUUUCUUUCUCAGCACAGAGAUUGUUGGAGUAUAGGAAGGUUAUUGAUUUAUGAGUACUGAUCUUGUAUCCUGCUACUUUGCUGAAUUCAUUUGUCAGCUGUAGAAGUAUUCUGGUGGAGUUUUUUUGGUAUUCUAGAUAUAGGAUCAUAUCAUUAGCAGAGAUAAUUUCUUUUCCUAUUUUGCAUCCCUUUAAUAUUUUUCCUCUGGUUAGAGUUUUGAAAAUUUUAUUAAAUAGAAAUGGUAAAAGUGGAUAUACUUGUCUUCUUGAGUUUAGAGGAAAUGCUUUCAGUUUUUCUCCAUUUAGUGUGUUGUUGGCUUUGGGUUUGUCACAUACAGCUGUAAAUGUUGAGGUCAGUUCCUUCUAUCCCUAUUUUCUCCAGAAUUUUUAAUAUGAAUGGGUGAUAGACUUUACCAAAGGCCUUUUCUGUAUCUAUCGAGAUGGUUGUAUGAUUUUUUUCUUUUAUUAUCAAGAUUUAUUAUCCCCAUAAACAAACAUAACUUUCUCUGAAUGGGUUUUUUACCAAAUAGGAAUUAUAUAUUGUUUGAUGGAACUAACUUAUAAAACUAUUUAGGAAUUCUUAUUCUUCCCACUUUUUUACCUUAUCUUCUUCCUUCCCUAUCUCCUUUCUUGCUUCCUUGUUGGUCUUUCAUUCAUUUUUCUCCCUGGGCCAUUUUCUACAAUUACAAUAUUUAGAAAAUUGUUCUUUUUAUUUGAAAUUAUUUAUAGAAUUUCUAUUAUCAGUUCCUUUUAAAGUUUUCCACUAAUGUGAAAAUAACUGAGUCAUUUUAAAGUGAAUGGUGGCAUUUAGAAAACCACAGUGACUUUUGAGGCCAUAGGCUGUUUGUCACCACUCAGAGGGAACCUGAAUUUCUGAGUCUUAAUUGAAAACUGAUGAUUCCCAUUAGACUUCAUGUAAAAAAUAAGUUUGUAUUAUGUUAAGCCACCAAUAGUCUUCUAUUAAUCCAUUUUUUAAAAAUUGAUGCUUUAUAGACAUAAACACAGGUGGAAUUUUCUGUGGUAUACUUACAUAUGCAUAUAGUAUAAUUUGUUCAAUUUAAUUCCUCACUUCCUCCCCAUUCCUUUCCCUUGUUUCUCCCAUAAACCCUGAUCCUCUCCCCUACUGAUCUCCCUUCAAUUUUCAUUGAAUUGCCCUCUUUCCCCUGAUACUUUGCUCUAGCUUCUGCAUAUGAAGUCUUUGACUUUGAGUCUGGCUUAUUUCACUUAGCAUAAUAUUCUCAUUUCCAUCCAUUUACUAACAAAAACCAUAAUCUCAUUAUUUUUUUAUAGCUAAAACUCCAUUAUAUAUAAACCACAUUUUAUUUAUGCAUUUAUCAUUUGAUGGGCACCUAGGCUGGUUCCAUAACUUGGCUACUGUGAAUUAGCUUAUAAUAAAUACUCAUGUGGCCAUAUCACUAUAUUCUGCUGAUUUUAGUUCUUUUGGAUAAAUAACAAAGAGUGGGAUAGCUGAGUUUGAUAGAUAUGGUGUUUCCAUCCCUAAGUCUUUUGAGGAAUCUCCAUACCGCUUUCUAAAGUGGUUCUACUAAUUUGCAGUUCCACCAAUAAUAUAUGAGUGUACCUUUUUUUCUUACAUGCUUGACAGCAUUUAUUCUUAUUUGUAUUCUAUGAGUGUCAUUCUGACUGGAGUGAGAUGAAAUCUCAGUGUAGUUUUGAUAUGCGUUUCCCUGAUUACUCUGGAUGUUGAACAUUUUUUUUUCAAAUAUUUAUUGGCUAUUUAUGUUUCUUCUUUUGAUAAGUGUCUGUUUAGUUCAUUUUCCCAUUCAGUGAUUGGUGUGUGUGUGUGUGUGUGUGCGCGCGUGCACGCGCGUGGGUGCAUGCAUUCGUUAAAGGUUUUUGAGUUUUUUAAAAAUAUAUUCUGGAUAUUAAUCCCCUGUUAGAGAAACAGGUGGCAAAGGUUUUCUCCUAUUCUGCAGGCUUUCUCUUUAUGUUCUUAAUUGCUUCUUUCACUGUGCAGAAACUUUUAAAUUUGAUGCUGUCCCAUUUAUUGAUUCCUGGUUUUAUUUCUUGAGCUUUGGGGUUCUUGUUAAGGAAGCCGAUGCCUGUGCCACUAUGUUGGAGUGUUGAGCCUAAGUUUUCUUCUGGCAGUUGCAAGGUUUCUAGUUUAAUUUCUAGGUCGUUGAGCCACUAUGAAUUGACUUUGGGGAAUAAAUCUAACCAAGAAGAUGAAAGACCACUACAAUGAAAACUAUAGAACACUGAAGAAAGAAAUUGAAAAAGCACUUAGAGGUUUUAAAUUGAUAUUGUCAAAACAGCUAUACUACCAAAAGCACAGAUUCAAUGCAAUCCCCAUCAAAAUAUCAAUGACAUUCUUUGCAGAAUUAGAAGACAGUCCUGAUAUUCAUUUGGAAGAAUAAAGGACCCAUAAGAACCAAAGCAAUACUGAGUAAGAAGAGCAAUGCUGGAAGCCAUCACAAUCCCUGAUCUCAAAUUAUACAGCAGAGUUAUAAUAAUAAAAAUAGCAUGGUGUUGGCAUUAAAACCGACAUAAAGAUCAGUGGAAUAGAGUAGAAGAAACAGAGAAAAACUUGCAUAGACAUAGUCAUCUGGUCAUUAUGAAAGCUUCCAAAAACAUGUUGAAGAAAAGAUAACCUUUUUAACAAAUAAUGCUGGGAAAACUUGAUAUCCAUGUGUAGAAGGAUGAAACUAGACUUCAGUGCACAACAGUCAACAGGUUUUCUUAAGUAGGCUGUUUAUUUAUUUUUGUCUAUUCUGUUUUUUUUCCAGGAACAGAAAAUUUUGUAUAAAUUGAGUAUUUUUAUUUUUUGGGUCUUUAAAACUACAUUGUAUGUUUUUUAAAUUAAGUGUUUUCAAGGUGUUUUUUUUUUUGUUUCAUUUUGCUUAGUUUUAAGUAUGGAAUUCUUCAUGAAUUUGAGUGUCUUCCUUGCACAGGAAACAUGCUAAUCUCUCUAUCAUUCUAUUUUGUGUGUGUGCUGAUGAAGUGACUGCUCAAGGUUUUCACAGGAGUACACAGUGAGGAACCAUCCUUACCUGCACAAGUAAACCUCUGAAAAGUGUCAAACAGAUAUUUAGUCAAAUUCAAGGCAGGGUUGCUAAAUGUUUUUUCUUUUAAUUUCUUCAGGUUCUCAAAAUCCAUUUUUGCAAAUCAUACUUCCAAAGAAAAUCCAAGGAGAGAAAAGUGAUAAUUCAGAGGUAGAUACAGUAAGAAAUAUUUUUAUAAUAUAAACAAUUAUAGGAAAUUUCAUAUUUCAUUACAUGGCUCUGAAAUAUAUGAAUCCCAUUAUAAAAUAUGAAUGUAAAUAUCUAAUAUUACUACUGAUAAGGAAUUCAAAGUUCUGUUGAUAAAAGCAAAUAUAUAUGUGAGAAUGGUCAGCUUUGUUUAUUAACAUUUAUCAUUUCCUCAUGGUAAAUUAUUUUUUUAAAGUUCAGCAUAGAAAAUAAUGUUGAAGAAUUAAGUGUCUUAUCUUAGUGAUAUCAAGGAGAUUUGGAUGAAGAAAAUAUUCUUCAAAAUGGCAAGAAUAUCUUUUAACAAAACCCUCUUUAUUUAUUCUUUACUCAUGAAACUACAAAUUCUCAAAGAAGGAGUAAUUUUUUAUUUUUCUAUUUUUAUUAAAAAGGGAGAAAGUUUAUUUUAUCCAUUGAUUUAUUUAAGUAUUUCUUUGGAGAUGCCAUGUGCUUAUGCUGUUUCUUAGGAUGUUAAACAAACAAACAAAAUACAAUUUAACAAGCCUAAUAGUAUAAGUGGACAAUUUUUUUUCUAGUACUAGGGAUUGAACCUGGGGCCACUCUGAACACUGAGCUACAUCCCCAUCCUUUUUUAGAAAUUUUUUUGUUUUGAGUCAAUGUCUUACUAAGUUGCCAGUGUUGGCCUUGAAAUUGCCAUCCUCCUGUCUCAAGUUCCCAAAUCACUAGGUUUACAGAUGUGUGCCACCAUGCCUGGCUCAACUUUUUGAUGACCUUUUGUUUUUUAUGAUUUCAUUGAGAUAUAAUUUUAAAUUGCAUUAUAAUUAUACAUAAUAGAUUCAUGUGGCAGAUUAAUAUAUGCACGUAACAUAAUUUAGUCUUUCACUUCUUGGACAAUUCUUUUCCCUGCCUUC